rnacentral:tRNA from 1 species
GUGAGAUGGCUCAGCGGCUAAGAGCACUGACUGCUCUUCAGAAGGCCCUGAGUUCAAAUCCCAGCAAUCACA